rnacentral:rRNA from 1 species
GACGAACGCUGGCGGCGUGCUUAACACAUGCAAGUCGAACGAUGAAGCUGGAGCUUGCUCCGGUGGAUUAGUGGCGAACGGGUGAGUAACACGUGAGCAAUCUGCCCUUGACUCUGGGAUAACUGCGGGAAACUGUAGCUAAUACCGGAUACGAGACCUGAAGGCAUCUUCGGGUCAGGAAAGAAUUUCGGUCAAGGAUGAGCUCGCGGCCUAUCAGCUUGUUGGUGAGGUAAUGGCUCACCAAGGCGACGACGGGUAGCCGGCCUGAGAGGGUGACCGGCCACACUGGGACUGAGACACGGCCCAGACUCCUACGGGAGGCAGCAGUGGGAAUAUUGCACAAUGGGCGAAAGCCUGAUGCAGCAACGCCGCGUGAGGGAUGAAGGCCUUCGGGUUGUAAACCUCUUUUAGCAGGGAAGAAGCGAAAGUGACGGUACCUGCAGAAAAAGCACCGGCUAACUACGUGCCAGCCGCCGCGGUAA